UCAUGCAACAGUGGGAUUAAAAGGUCCCAGAAGAGCCCAGAGCUUCAGGAGCUUCUCGAUGAAGACGGGGACCGAACAGCAUCCAGGCACGGUGGACACCACAAUGCUCCGUAGAAGCAGGGAUGGCGAGAGUCCAUCACAUCUUCUGGGCAGCCUCAGCGGGAGGGGUCAGUCCCUGGAGAAGGACAGCGUGCUUGGUCAAGUAGAAGGAGAUGAUCUACUGACAAGACACAGGGCACUAUGCUGAUAAACCCCACGCCCUGGGAACUAUAGGAGCCACAUGGAGACCACUGCCAGCUUUGAGAUGCUUCUACCACCACUGGAUCCACAA